rnacentral:rRNA from 1 species
AAUGAACGCCGGCGGCAUGCCUAACACAUGCAAGUCGAACGAGACCUUCGGGUCUAGUGGCGCACGGGUGCGUAACGCGUGGGAAUCUGCCCUUGGGUUCGGAAUAACAGUUAGAAAUGACUGCUAAUACCGGAUGAUGUCGUAAGACCAAAGAUUUAUCGCCCAAGGAUGAGCCCGCGUAGGAUUAGCUAGUUGGUGAGGUAAAAGCUCACCAAGGCGACGAUCCUUAGCUGGUCUGAGAGGAUGAUCAGCCACACUGGGACUGAGACACGGCCCAGACUCCUACGGGAGGCAGCAGUGGGGAAUAUUGGACAAUGGGCGAAAGCCUGAUCCAGCAAUGCCGCGUGAGUGAUGAAGGCCUUAGGGUUGUAAAGCUCUUUUACCCGGGAUGAUAAUGACAGUACCGGGAGAAUAAGCUCCGGCUAACUUCGUGCCAGCCGCCGCGGUAAGAC